CUCGGCACCCCGCGUGGUGGUACCUCACUGAACCCCCCCAGGGCAGGAAUGCAGCAAGGGCAGGUGAGCUCUUCCAGGUACGCGGGGUGUCCUCGUUCCC
rnacentral:SRP_RNA from 1 species